AACGACUAAUACAGAGAUGACUGGUCUCCUCAUGUCGAUGAGGGUUAGGCCAUGUUGAGCCUUGAAUGUUCUUUCUGGGACAUCAGUUACCCUUUAUGUACCUACACCUCCAUAUUCAUCAUUUUCCUACUUGCCUGGCAAAUAAGACGGAGUUGCCAGAGACUGAGUUUGGAACCUAAAAAGAGCUGCUACCGGGUAGGAAAACGCUGAGUGUAAUUGAACUACCUUAAGCCUAGGCAUCACCGAAAAGUCAGGCAAAGGGCUAGAGAUGCAGCAGCAAGAGCCAGGAGACUUUCCCGAGAAGAAGCUGAGAAGCCGUGGGAGCUGCUCUCUGCCUUGAAAAGCCAAAGCUGGAUCCCCAAGGAGGGAAGUGUGCGGCAGCUCCUGUGUUUAGAUCCCGGCUGCCAAAUCUGUGAGGCUGCAACUCUAGAGAUUCGGCAGUUGCUGCAGAGUGAGAAAAACCAGCUCUCCCCUGCUUUGUUGGGACUGCCACAGGGCUCUGCUUGCCUGGAGAUGUCGCCCAUGUCCUUUCAACAGAAUACAGAGUUUCAUUCCAGGCACCAAAGAAGACAUCUUCCACUGGUACCUGAAAACCAAGCACUAACAGAGCUAACAGAACACCUAACACAGUUGUCCAACACAGUUGGUGUCCAAGAAUACUGGACUGAUCAACUCCAGCUAGAGCAGAAAUUGCAUCUGGCCGACAUGCCCAUGGUCUCAGAGACUAUGGCUUCAUCAAGAUUCGAG
rnacentral:lncRNA from 1 species